GAUGAACGCUAGCUACAGGCUUAACACAUGCAAGUCGAGGGGAAACGACAUCGGAAGCUUGCUUUUGAUGGGCGUCGACCGGCGCACGGGUGAGUAACGCGUAUCCAACCUGCCCACCACUUGGGGAUAACCUUGCGAAAGUAAGACUAAUACCCAAUGAUGUCUCUAGAAGACAUCUGAAAGGGAUUAAAGAUUUAUCGGUGAUGGAUGGGGAUGCGUCUGAUUAGCUUGUUGGCGGGGUAACGGCCCACCAAGGCGACGAUCAGUAGGGGUUCUGAGAGGAAGGUCCCCCACAUUGGAACUGAGACACGGUCCAAACUCCUACGGGAGCAGCAGUGAGGAAUAUUGGUCAAUGGGCGAGAGCCUGAACCAGCCAAGUAGCGUGCAGGAUGACGGCCCUAUGGGUUGUAAACUGCUUUUAUAAGGGAAUAAAGUGCGGGACGCGUCCCGUAUUGAGAGUACCCGAAGAAAAAGCAAUCGGCUAACUCCGUGG
rnacentral:rRNA from 1 species